GCAGUGACUCAGCUGGAAGCGAAGAAGGAGCUGGUGUCAUCAGCUGUUGUUAGGAAAGAACGGAGGAGCCUGGGGGAAACUCUCCAGUCCUGAGAGGACGGGAGGCAUGAGGUUUCUCCUCUAGAAAAGAUGCCCACGUGAACCAGGGAGAUGCUGCUUACCAAACACAUGUAGAGCAACAGAUCUGUGUGGCAGAAGCUGUGGAAAUGGCAGCCAUGGAAGUACUGCACUCAGAUCGUCCUUCAAGAGAAGCACCUACGAGCAGAAUAGUUCCUGGGCAGCUUCCAGCUAUUCACCUUGGAUCUAAUGCAGCUUUCAUUCUGAGGCCUUGCUCUCCAUCGGUUUCUCCUAGCCAGUGGCCAAGCAUGGGAAGAAGAUGAAAGCUGGCCAUACCAGCCCAACGUGGGACUCCUGUAAUGGGCAGUCUCUGCACUGGGGCUUCCUGUUGGCCUGGCUGAGAUGUUACCAGAGUUUCACUGCCACUGAAAUCUAUUCAGUUCUCCUCUCUUCCCUCUCCUUGCACAGCUGUUAGCCCUGCACAGGGCUCUGAAGGCUCUCCCUGCCCACUCCUGCUCCCUCUCUCCUGUACCCUUUACAAACAUUUCCCUUCUGCAUGUUUUAUUCUGGUUGGCAUCUACUUCUCAGAGGACCCAAAGUGGAACAGGAGGCCUCAGAAAAAGGCAAAUAAAAUUCCUCUACUAAAAAAAAA